CAAACUUGCUGAGUCUUAAUCUGCAUUUGGCAAGCUCUCAAAGUGAUUCCUUUGUAUGUAAAAGUCUAAGAAGCACUGGCUAGCAUCUUUCUGGUUCACAUGCACGUUAAAGCUUGAGAAGUGUUGGCCUAGGGAUCUUCGUGGAUUCCAAAUAGAAGUCAGAAUACCAAUAACCAGUAUUAAUUUCUGAUUGUAAUAUCAGCAGCUGAAGGAUCAAGGUGUUUGGAACCCAGGAAUCACAAUCAGACUUUUUCAGGCCGCAAAUGGAUUGAUAAAACAAUGGAGGUCUCUCUGAUAAGGUAACAUUUCAGCUGAGCAUGGAAGUAAGUGAAGACAUGAUCAUAGGAGUAUCUGGGGAUCGAGCAGCAAGUGCAAAGGCCCUGGGGCUGGAACACACUCAGUGUGUGUGAGAAAUGGCAAGGGGUUCAGUGUGCCUGAUGCAGAUUAAGCAAAGAGGCCAGGAGUAGGAGGUGAUAUGGAAAGAUUGUGUUGACUCUGCAGUUCAUGGUAAGGCCUUAGGAUAUUGUCAUGAGUGAAAUGGGAAGCUGUCGGAAGGUUUAGAAUGAAGGGGUCAUAUUAUCUGACUUUUGUUUUAACAGGAAUCUCUCCAGCUGAGUCUAAUUUCUGAGAGUAGACUGAAGAGGACACAGCAGGGCAGUCUAGUCAGAGGGCAGCCAUAGCCAAACCUAUAACCAGCAAGCAGGAAAACAGAUGACCUCUGAGGACAACAUCACCCAGAGGACAGGCUCCAGAUGCUAACAAUGUGGGCUCCUCUGAACAUGUACUUCGCCUCUCACUGCACAGGCAAAUCCUGCCCCAGCACACCAGUUUCUGAUAAAUAUUUUAGUGUCUCACUCUUAACUAUGAAUAGAUAGCCAAGGAUCACCAGACAGGAAGCCCUCUAACACAGACAAACAGAAACUAAAGACAAGACAGAAAGGAUCUCAGAGAAAACAGGCAAUUCAGGGAGCAGAGGGAAACUUUCUGGACAAACCCACAAUUAAAACCUUCUAGGACUUAAGAGGAGCUGUAUACUUGUGAUUCAAGAUCAGGCUCCUAGCAGGAACAUUCAUAGCUCCAGGAUUAGGGGCAGGAAAGAGGACAGAGCUGAAACAAAAUUCUACAGGAGGAUUAGAAGAUAACAAUGAGAAUUUUUGCCAAAAAAAAAAUACCGCAAAAGGCCGAAGAACCAACAAUAGGAGAGGAGAGAUGAAAAGACAAGAGAAGAAAGUUGAACUCCUGACAAACAGGAAUUCCAAAAGAGAGAAAAGGAAAAAAAUAUAUAGAGAAUAAGUUAUUUUUUAAAAUGCAAGAAAAUUCCCUAGAGCUAAGUGGCAUAAAUCUCCUGAUAGAUGCUCAGGCCAAGGCAAAUCAUCAUGGAAUAUCACUGCAGCAGAGAUAAAGAGAAGGCCUUAGAAGCUUCUAGAGGAACACAGAGGCCACUUAGCAAAUAUCAGCAAUCAGGAGGCCCUUAGAAUUCUCAACAGCAACACAGGGAGCUAGAAGACAAGGGCCUUCAAAAUUCUGGAAGGGCAACAAAUUUCUAAUGUGGAAUUCUUGGCUUAUGAAACUACUGAUCAAUUUUGAAAAUGAAAUACAGGCAUUUUCAAGCACUCAAGAUCUCAAGAAACGUUUCUUGUCUGCACCCUUUCUCAGGCAGUUACUGGGCACAUGCUCGUCCAAGAUAAGAGAAAACCAAGAAAGAGGAGUCUCAGCAGCGAAACCAGUGAAGCAGAGCAGGACAGAAGGGAUUGUCAGGCUGGCAGCCAUGCAGGGGACCCAGGGAGCCAUCAGUCCAGGUGGAAGCUGGGAGACCAGGGUUUCCCGGAGGCAUUCCUCCAGGAAAAACAUGAACUGAAUUUUUUUUUUGAUAUAUAAGCUGUGCGGAAAAUAGAAUUGAGAAAGCGUUUUACAAGUAAAUUGUGGCUGUUGAAAAUUAGCCAGAGGUGCAUCGGGGAAAAUCCAAAGUAAUUAUAAGCUUGAAAACAUACACAUGUACGAGACAGAAAUGCAAUCUUAUUUCUUGAUGUGGCUCAGUGGAAAAUAUUUACAUAAUCAUAGUAUUGACUUCCUGAAGACCCAGAUAAACAACAUUGGGAAGAUGAAGAAAGAGAAGCGAAUGUUUGUUGGGGCAACAGGGUGGUAAUUUGGGGGAGUAUUAAAGAGCUGUAUUGGCUUCCUGUUGCUUCUGUAACUCAUUACCGGACAUUCAGUGGCUUAAGACAACACAACUGUGACCUUGCAGUUCUGGAGUUCAGAAGUCUGAAAUGAGUCUUCACUGUGCUAUAAUCAAAGGCGUCGGCAGGGCUGUUGUCUUUCUGGAAGCUCUGAGGAGAAUCUUCCUUGCCCUUUCCAGCUUCCAGAGGCCGCCACAUUCCUCGGCUUUGGCCCCUUCCUCUGUCUUCACAGUGAAUUGUUCCAACCUCUGCUUCCACGGCGACCUCUCUUUUUUCUGACUCCACUCUCAUCCCUCCCUUUCAUAUGGACGCUUAUGAUGAUAUUGGACCAGGCUGAAUAAUCCCUCCCUUUCAUAUGGAUCCUUAUGAUUAUAUUGGACCAGGCUGGAUAAUCCCUCCCUUUCAUGUGGACCCUUAUGAUGAUAUUGGACCAGGCUGGAUAAUCCAGGAAAAUCUCCCCAUCUCAAGAUGCUUACUUGAAUCACACCUGCAAAGUCCCUUCUGGCAUGGAAAGUGACAUGUUCACAGGAUCCCAUGUUCCCAGGAUUAGGACAUGGACAUCUUUAGUGGGGAGAAGCCAUGGUUUUGCAGAUCCCCAAGGUUAAUGUGCUCAAUGGAGGAUCAGGAUCUAGCCCUAUGAGCAUGUUAUUAACGAGCAUAGAAGUGAAUUCCCAAAAGCAUCACUAAGUGCACUGGUGGUCGUAAUCUCAUGGCUAUGAGCAGCGUGGGGUAGGCAGAGCCAGGGGCUAGUUGUUUCCAUUAUAAGCCUUGUGAUAUUUUAGACCAUGUGUAUCUAAUGCUGUGAUAAAGAGUAAAAUGUCCAGUCAGGUGCAGUGGCUCAAGCCUGUAAUCCCACCACUUUGGGAGCCCAAGGCGGGAGAACCACUUGUGUACAGGAGUUCCUGGCCAGCCUCGGCAACAUAGUUAGACCCUGUCUCUAUGAGAAAUAGAAGAUGAGCCAAGCGUGAUGGUGUGCCUAUAGUCCCACCGACUUGUGGGGCUGAGGUAGGAGAUUGCUUGAGCCCAGGUAGUUGAGACUGCAGUGAACCAUGAUUGUGCCACUGCACUCAGCCUGGGUGACAGUUAAGACCCUGUCUCAAAAAAAAAAAGAAAAAAGAAUAAAAAGAGUAAAAUGCUAUCGUUAGGCCCAACUCAUACCUAAUCAAUCAAAACGUAACUUAAAUUCUGGAGAUCUAGUGUCCUGCGUGGUGACUGCAAUGAACAAUACUGUGUUGUACACGAAAUUUGCCAAGAGGUCAGAUCUUGAGUGUUCUCAUCACAUACCAAAAAGGUAACUGUGAGGCGAUGGAUAUGUUAAUUAGCAUAAUUGUGUACAUGUAUUUCAAAUAAUCAAGUAGUACACCUUAAAUACAUACCUUUUAAUUUGUCAAUUCUGC
rnacentral:lncRNA from 10 species